GAUCCGGCAGCAGGCAACAUGGGGGCAGAAACCGCGGGGGGAACAACGCGGGGGAAACGCGGGGGAAACGCGGGAUUACAGAAUUUAUUUAACAUAAAUUAAAAACCCUAAUCUAAACCCAAACUCCGGGAUGCAACAGUCUAGCACAUCAAAAAGAAAAACAUAAAAGAGUUGCACCUCUAUUCUCCUCACCAGAUGUCAUAUUUUGGUAUUUACAGGUAUAUCCAUGGGAAAUUCAGAGAUCACAUCCACACUGUGCAGCUGGAUUUUGCUGGAGUUGGGCAUCGAUGGUAGAAAGAGGCCCUUGGGACAAUCAUGUUUAUCCAACAAGCACCCCAUGCACUUGCUUUGACCUAUGCUCUCCUUCUGUGCAAUGACGGGCUCAGCUGGUGCCACAGACAGUGUUUCACGUGAUUGACGUAGCAGUCUUUCCUGCAGUGAGCAAUUUAAAGCAGAAAGGUCUGCAUUUUACAGUAAAUGGAAGCAAGGAACUGUGAGAAAUGUGCUGUUGAGAAGGGAAAAACAAAAAGAAAGCAAAAGGAGUAGUUAAUCAGUGUUGCACAGCAUUAUCUGGAGAAUUCCUGAAGACAGACUCACAUUUGCUGUUUUGUUUUCCAUUAUGAAAAACCACGAAGGAAAAGUUAUGUAGCGAACUGCUUUGGCUUGCCACUUGUUAAAAUUAAUGCAGAUCCUUCUGCUGUACAGGGACCACCUCUGCAAUUAAAAAAAACCCAUAAAUAUUCCUGCAGCAUACUAAGAAAUUCCCCUGAAGGGGGAGGUUCCAAGAACUUC